GUCCCUGGGGAGCAAUGGAUAUCUCGUUGGGCUUCUAAUCCAAAGGGCGUAGGUUCGAAUCCUACCUGGGAUG